AGCACGGGGAACAUGCUUUCCAGCACCAGUUUCACUAAAAAAGGUGUUGAAAGCAUCGUCACCUCCACCGAGAGUAGUAUCUCCAGGCAUUUGACCAUCGGGCUGAAUACCAUGCUCGAGGCAGUAGAGCUCCCAGCAGGCAUUGCCGACCUGGAUACCGGCCUGACCGAUGUGGAUUGAGAUGCACUCUCUCAUUUUGAGUUAGAGAAACAGGGGAAUGAAGAAGAGAUCUGAGAAGUAAAUGGAGAGGACAAAGAAAAUCUCGCGAGAGGAAGAAAGACGUUUGUGAAGACGCCUUCCCCUUUGAAACCCUUUUUUUUCUGAAGGAUAGACGGAAAGAGAAAGAGUGAAGAGACGUAUUUAUAGU
rnacentral:misc_RNA from 1 species